rnacentral:misc_RNA from 1 species
UUAGGACAAGGGUAGAAGG